GGGUUGUGAGGUUAAGCGACUAAGCGUACACGGUGGAUGCCCUGGCAGUCAGAGGCGAUGAAGGACGUGCUAAUCUGCGAUAAGCGCCGGUAAGGUGAUAUGAACCGUUAUAACCGGCGAUUUCCGAAUGGGGAAACCCAGUGUGACUCGUCACACUAUCAUUAACUGAAUCCAUAGGUUAAUGAGGCGAACCGGGGGAACUGAAACAUCUAAGUACCCCGAGGAAAAGAAAUCAACCGAGAUUCCCCCAGUAGCGGCGAGCGAACGGGGAGGAGCCCAGAGCCUGAAUCAGCAUAUGUGUUAGUGGAAGCGUCUGGAAAGGCGCGCGAUACAGGGUGACAGCCCCGUACACAAAAGCGCAUGUGCUGUGAGCUCGAUGAGUAGGGCGGGACACGUGGUAUCCUGUCUGAAUAUGGGGGGACCAUCCUCCAAGGCUAAAUACUCCUGACUGACCGAUAGUGAACCAGUACCGUGAGGGAAAGGCGAAAAGAACCCCGGCGAGGGGAGUGAAAAAGAACCUGAAACCGUGUACGUACAAGCAGUGGGAGCACCCUUUGGGGUGUGACUGCGUACCUUUUGUAUAAUGGGUCAGCGACUUAUAUUCUGUAGCAAGGUUAACCGAAUAGGGGAGCCGGAGGGAAACCGAGUCUUAAUUGGGCGUUAAGUUGCAGGGUAUAGACCCGAAACCCGGUGAUCUAGCCAUGGGCAGGUUGAAGGUUGGGUAACACUAACUGGAGGACCGAACCGACUAAUGUUGAAAAAUUAGCGGAUGACCUGUGGCUGGGGGUGAAAGGCCAAUCAAACCGGGAGAUAGCUGGUUCUCCCCGAAAGCUAUUUAGGUAGCGCCUCGUGAAUUCAUCUCCGGGGGUAGAGCACUGUUUCGGCUAGGGGGCCAUCCCGGCUUACCAACCCGAUGCAAACUGCGAAUACCGGAGAAUGUUAUCACGGGAGACACACGGCGGGUGCUAACGUCCGUCGUGAAGAGGGAAACAACCCAGACCGCCAGCUAAGGUCCCAAAGUCAUGGUUAAGUGGGAAACGAUGUGGGAAGGCCCAGACAGCCAGGAUGUUGGCUUAGAAGCAGCCAUCAUUUAAAGAAAGCGUAAUAGCUCACUGGUCGAGUCGGCCUGCGCGGAAGAUGUAACGGGGCUAAACCAUGCACCGAAGCUGCGGCAGCGACGCUGAUGCGUUGUUGGGUAGGGGAGCGUUCUGUAAGCCUGCGAAGGUGGCCUGUGAGGGUUGCUGGAGGUAUCAGAAGUGCGAAUGCUGACAUAAGUAACGAUAAAGCGGGUGAAAAGCCCGCUCGCCGGAAGACCAAGGGUUCCUGUCCAACGUUAAUCGGGGCAGGGUGAGUCGACCCCUAAGGCGAGGCCGAAAGGCGUAGUCGAUGGGAAACGGGUUAAUAUUCCCGUACUUGGUGUUACUGCGAAGGGGGGACGGAGAAGGCUAUGUUGGCCGGGCGACGGUUGUCCCGGUUUAAGCGUGUAGGUGUGUGUUCCAGGUAAAUCCGGUUCACUUUAACACUGAGGCGUGAUGACGAGGCACUACGGUGCUGAAGCAACAAAUGCCCUGCUUCCAGGAAAAGCCUCUAAGCAUCAGGUAACAUCAAAUCGUACCCCAAACCGACACAGGUGGUCAGGUAGAGAAUACCAAGGCGCUUGAGAGAACUCGGGUGAAGGAACUAGGCAAAAUGGUGCCGUAACUUCGGGAGAAGGCACGCUGACACGUAGGUGAAGUGAUUUACUCAUGGAGCUGAAGUCAGUCGAAGAUACCAGCUGGCUGCAACUGUUUAUUAAAAACACAGCACUGUGCAAACACGAAAGUGGACGUAUACGGUGUGACGCCUGCCCGGUGCCGGAAGGUUAAUUGAUGGGGUCAGCGCAAGCGAAGCUCCUGAUCGAAGCCCCGGUAAACGGCGGCCGUAACUAUAACGGUCCUAAGGUAGCGAAAUUCCUUGUCGGGUAAGUUCCGACCUGCACGAAUGGCGUAAUGAUGGCCAGGCUGUCUCCACCCGAGACUCAGUGAAAUUGAACUCGCUGUGAAGAUGCAGUGUACCCGCGGCAAGACGGAAAGACCCCGUGAACCUUUACUAUAGCUUGACACUGAACAUUGAGCCUUGAUGUGUAGGAUAGGUGGGAGGCUUUGAAGUGUGGACGCCAGUCUGCAUGGAGCCGACCUUGAAAUACCACCCUUUAAUGUUUGAUGUUCUAACGUGGACCCGUGAUCCGGGUUGCGGACAGUGUCUGGUGGGUAGUUUGACUGGGGCGGUCUCCUCCUAAAGAGUAACGGAGGAGCACGAAGGUUGGCUAAUCCUGGUCGGACAUCAGGAGGUUAGUGCAAUGGCAUAAGCCAGCUUGACUGCGAGCGUGACGGCGCGAGCAGGUGCGAAAGCAGGUCAUAGUGAUCCGGUGGUUCUGAAUGGAAGGGCCAUCGCUCAACGGAUAAAAGGUACUCCGGGGAUAACAGGCUGAUACCGCCCAAGAGUUCAUAUCGACGGCGGUGUUUGGCACCUCGAUGUCGGCUCAUCACAUCCUGGGGCUGAAGUAGGUCCCAAGGGUAUGGCUGUUCGCCAUUUAAAGUGGUACGCGAGCUGGGUUUAGAACGUCGUGAGACAGUUCGGUCCCUAUCUGCCGUGGGCGCUGGAGAACUGAGGGGGGCUGCUCCUAGUACGAGAGGACCGGAGUGGACGCAUCACUGGUGUUCGGGUUGUCAUGCCAAUGGCACUGCCCGGUAGCUAAAUGCGGAAGAGAUAAGUGCUGAAAGCAUCUAAGCACGAAACUUGCCCCGAGAUGAGUUCUCCCUGAGACUUAGAGUCUCCUGAAGGAACGUUGAAGACGACGACGUUGAUAGGCCGGGUGUGUAAGCGCAGCGAUGCGUUGAGCUAACCGGUACUAAUGAACCGUGAGGCUUAACCUUACAACGCCGAAG
rnacentral:rRNA from 1 species